GUGCUCGCUUUGGCAGCACAUAUACUAAAAUUAGAAC
rnacentral:snRNA from 1 species